rnacentral:rRNA from 1 species
AUUGAACGCUGGCGGCAGGCCUAACACAUGCAAGUCGAACGAGGCGCGGGCGGGUGAGUAAUGUAUGGGGCUCCCCGCGGUAGAGGGGGAUAACUACUGGAAACGGUGGCUAAUCCCGCAUAAUAUCGGAUGAACACAUAUGGGAGUAGCUAGUGGGGGGGGUAAAGGCUCACCUAGGCGACGAUCUAUAGCUGGUCUGAGAGGAUGAUCAGCCACACGGGGACUGAGACACGGCCCAGACUCCUACGGGAGGCAGCAGUGGGGAAUAUUGCACAAUGGGCGCAAGCCUGAUGCAGCCAUGCCGCGUGUAUGAAGAAGGCCUUCGGGUUGUAAAGUACUUUCAGCGGGGAGGCGUUACCCGCAGAAGAAGCACCGGCUAACUCCGUGCCAGCAGCCGCGGUAAUAC